UACGGGGGGGGCAAGCGUUGUUCGGAAUUACUGGGCGUAAAGGGCUCGUAGGCGGCCAACUAAGUCGGACGUGAAAUCCCCAGGCUCAACCUGGGAACUGCGUCCGAUACUGGAUGGCUUGAAUCCGGGAGAGGGAUGCAGAAUUCCAGGUGUAGCGGUGAAAUGCGUAGAUAUCUGGAGGAAUACCGGUGGCGAAGGCGGCAUCCUGGACCGGAUACGACGCUGAGGAGCGAAAGCCAGGGGAGCAAACGGG
rnacentral:rRNA from 1 species